GAGCCUGUUGGGCUAAGCGGGUACUGCUAAUUCCUCGCUACCAUGGUUCAACUCCAUGGCAUGCUCG
rnacentral:tRNA from 1 species